GUGUAACUAAGUGUAAUUAUACAAUUUGACAUGUUUGUUUGGCCAACUAAUUACUUGAACAAUGUGGAACUGGGUGUUAUUAGAGGGGUUUAAUUACACUAUUCAAUUCUCAAGGGAGGUGAGAAUUGGUAGUAAUUUGUAAUUACAAGGUUAUUUUUUAUUUUCUUUCCUUUUUAUUUUUAUUUUAAUUUAUUUUCUUUAUAACUUUUUUCUAUUAUUUUAAUUUUUAAAAUUUUUGUGACGACCCCGCCGGUCGUCUUUGGAAUUUAUGCUCCGGUCCCCGUUAAUUGUUUCCCUUAAGUUCAUUUCUGCUAUUUUGGUUUGCCGAGACAUUCAAUCUUAGAAUUCGGAGUGAUUUGGGACACUUAGUCCCUAAAUGAGAGCAUAAGCAUUGGAAACUAGUUCAUAAUCGGAACAGUGUGAAUACAUUGAUGGAAAGGGGUGUUGAAUUUAUGCCAAUACCAAUGAAAAGAGUUGAGAAAUAAAGGAGGCAAGCACAUUGACAUUCAUAGUUACAGUAUUGCGACGAGUGAAAUAUUUUUUAUGUUUGCAUCGCUAUCCAUCUACACUCACCUCAAAUGAAGCCAGAAGGUUAUGCUCUCGAGUGAAAUAUUUUUGAUGUUUGCACCGCUAUCCAUCAAAAUCGGGGGCAUAAUACACUCACCUUAAAUGAAGCCAGAAGGUUAUGCUCUUGUCGUAAACGGUCUAUCUACCACAUGCUAUGAAGUGCUUUCAACAUACAGGUUUCGCGGCAAUCAGCUACGUUGAUAAAGAAUAUAGUAUUGCUACAUAUUUAAACACCUUUAGUAGACAGGUGCAGCCAGUGGUUGUUGAGCAUUAUUGGGCGUCGGAAUCAUUUAAAAUGGUGUGUAACAAGGAGUACUUGUGUCAACAACAAGUGCAAAAAAGAAUGUAUAUACGGAACAAAAUGGAUGUAAGUGAUACCGUUUAUGCGCGUAAAUACGGUAUAUAAUCACAAACAUGACACGACCAUUGUAAAUGUCCUUCAGCUGGUUUAGGUAGCGGUAGUAAAACCUUAAUAAUAAUAUGUAUAUUCAGAUUCAGAAGUCUGUAUCAUAAUAAAAUUAAAGAGAAUCUUACGGCCUUGGAUUAGACCUCAAUCCUUAUGGAUCCAGGCUAGAAAAUUGACCCACUUAAACAACCAAUCGAGGUAUCCUUGCAAAAGGAAAUCUUUAAACUAUAACUUUUUGCUCUACUGUGUUGGAUAGAGAAAGCAAGGAAGAAGGAAAGCAUAUCGAGUGACCGACCUACACCACUAACUCCUAAUUACCUCCUUUAUUCAACAAAUUUCCAAUUCCACUUUGUGUAAUCAGCAGAUUAAAGUGUCUAAGGACUUCAGUAAAGUUCACACAAUAUUUUUAUUAAGAAAAAAUUCACACUUGUUUCCUCCAAAGGACAAGAAAAAGUAAUUCACAGUAACUUGAAAGAAACAACAAAAGAGAUUGAUUCUACCCUUUAGUAUUAGGUUCUUCUGCAGAUACCUUUUUAUUCUCCAAAGUCAAAUAAAAGCCUCUCCAUCAUCACCAAGAAAUAUAAUCAUUUAAACAAUCAAGCACAACAACUUCCACAGGAAAAAAAAAGAAGCCAAAAAAUCCAAAAAAAUCAAAGACCCAUAUCAAAGUUUCUAAUAUUCAAGCAUAAAACACGAGAAUACAAAGGAGACAAACCUGCUCUGUGAAACACCAUAGAUCUGACCUUUGAUAGCCAUCAACAAAGGCUUCUUGGGAUCAGAACCGUCAUACUGUUUCAACUCCUCUUCAGAAAUUUCACCAAGCUGAACUGGUGGGGGAAGAGACUCCAUCUGUUCCUCCAAAUUUCUAGACCUUUGGUGGUGAACAUGAUCAGGUGAGCUGAAAACCCCUGAGUUGUUUCAACUCCUUUUCAGAAACUUCACCAAGCUGAACUGGUGGGGAAAGAGACUCCAUCUUUUCCUCCAAAUUUCUAGACCUUUGGGGGUGAACAUGAUCAGGUGAGCUGAAAACCCCUGAGACGACAUAGUACAAAGCAAGACCCAAAGAAUUAACUGUGAAAAAAGUUGUAGGGGAAAGACCCGUAUAGUCAAAGAUUGAAUCUUUCAAGUUUUCCCCUAGCUGCAGGGCCACAGUUCUUUAUUGGGGCGAGAAAAGCAGAGAGGUUUUAAUUGGGGUUUGUGAGAUAGAGGGGAUAGGAGUGUAAGUGUGGACCAUUUGAGAUGUUCGGUUGUUUUUGGACUGUUUCACCAACUUUGUGAUUCCAUAAAUGAACUCAAAACAAUGGUUUUGUUAUAAAUAUAUUAUAUGUUUGGAAAAGCACCUAGGAAUUAGAUUUGGGCGUAAUUAAGUGUAAUUAUACAAUUUGACAUGUUUGUUUGGCCAACUAAUUACUUUAUCAAUAUGGAAUCGGGUGUAAUUAGAGGGGUUUAAUUACACUAUCCAAUUCUCAAGGGGAUGUGAGAAUUGGUAGUAAUUUGCAAUUACAAGGUUAUUUUUUAUUUUCUUUCCUUUUUAUUUUUAUUUUAAUAUAUUUUCUUUACAACUUUUUUUUCUAUUAUUUUAAUUUAUUAAAUUUUUCUGACGACCCGGCCGGUCGUCUUUGGAAUUUAUGCCCCGGUCCCCCGUUAAUUGUUUCGCUUAAGUUCAUUUCUGCUAUUUUGGUUUGCCGCGACAUUCAAUUUUAGAAUUCGGAGUGUUUUGGGACACUUAGUCCCUAAAUGAGAGCUUAAGCAUUGGAAAGUAGUUCAUAAUCGGAACAGUGUGAAUACAUUGAUGAAAAGGGAUGUUGAAUUUAUGCCAAUACCAAUGAAAAGAGUUGAGAAAUAAAGGAGGCAAGCACAUUGACAUUCAUAGUUACAGUAUUGCGACGAGUGAAAUAUUUUUUAUGUUUGCAUCGCUAUCCAUCUACACUCACCUCAAAUGAAGCCAGAAGGUUAUGCUCUUGUCGUAAACGGUCUAUCUACCACAUGCUAUGAAGUGCUUUCAACAUACAGGUUUCGCGACAACUAGCUACGUUGAUAAAGAAUAUAGUAUUGCUACAUAUUUAAACACCUAUAGUGGACAGGUGCAGCCAGUGGUUGUUGAGCAUUAUCGGGCGUCGGAAUCAUUUAAAAUGGUGUGUAACAAGGAGUAUUUGUGUCAACAACAAGUGUAAAAAAGAAUGUAUAUAUGGAACAAAAUGGAUGUAAGUGAUACCGUCUAUGCGCGUAAAUGUGGUAUAUAAUCACAAACAUGACACGACCGUUGUAAAUGUCCUUCAGCUGGCUUAGGUAGCGGUAGCAAAAUCUUAAUAAUUAUAUGUAUAUUCAGAUUCAGAAGUCUUUAUCACAAUAAAAUUAAAGAGAAUCUUACGGCCUUGGAUUAGACCUCAAUCCAUAUGGACCAAGACAAGCAAAUUGACCCACUUAAACAACCAAUUGAGGUAUCCUUGCAAAAUGAAAUAUUUAAACUAUACCUUUUUGCUCUACAGUGUUGGAUAGAGAAAGCAAGGGAAGAAGGAAAGCAUAUCGAGUGACCGACCCACACCACUAACUCUUAAUUACCUCCGUUAUUCAACAAAUUUCCAAUUCCACUUUGUGUAAUCAGCAGAUUAAAGUGCCUAAGGACUUCAGCAAAGUUCACACAAUUUUUUUAAUAAGAAAAAAUUCACACUUGUUUCCUCCAAAGGACAAGAAAAAGUAAUUCACAGUAACUUGAAAGAAACAACAAAAGAGAUUGAUUCUACCCUUUAGUAUUAGGUUCUUCUGCAGAUACCUUUUUAUUCUCCAAAGUCAAAUAAAAGCCUCUCCAUCAUCACCAAGAAAUAUAAUCAUUUAAACAAUCAAGCACAACAACUUCCACAGGAAAAAAAAAGAAGCCAAAAAAUCCAAAAAAAUCAAAGACCCAUAUCAAAGUUUCUAAUAUUCAAGCAUAAAACACGAGAAUACAAAGGAGACAAACCUGCUCUGUGAAACACCAUAGAUCUGACCUUUGAUAGCCAUCAACAAAGGCUUCUUGGGAUCAGAACCGUCAUACUGUUUCAACUCCUCUUCAGAAAUUUCACCAAGCUGAACUGGUGGGGGAAGAGACUCCAUCUGUUCCUCCAAAUUUCUAGACCUUUGGUGGUGAACAUGAUCAGGUGAGCUGAAAACCCCUGAGACGACAUAGUACAAAGCAAGACCCAAAGAAACAACUGUGAAAAAAGUUGUAGGGGAAAGACCUGUAUAGUCAAAGAUUGAAUCUUUCAAGUUUUCCCCUAGCUGCAGGGCCAUAGUUCUUUAUUGGGGCGAGAAAAGCAGAGAGGUUUUAAUUGGGGUUUGUGAGAUAGAGGGGAUAGGAGUGUAAGUGUGGACCAUUUGAGAUGUUCGGUUGUUUUUGGACUGUUUCACCAACUUUGUGAUUCCAUAAAUGAACUCAAAACAAUGGUUUUGUUAUAAAUAUAUUAUAUGUUUGGAAAAGCACCUAGAAAUAGAAUUAGAUUUGGGUGUAAUUAUACAAUUUGACAUGUUUGUUUUGCGAACUAAUUACUUGAACAAUGUGGAAUUGGGUGUUAUUAGAGGGGUUUAAUUACACUAUCCAAUUCUCAAGGGAGGUGAGAAUUGGUAGUAAUUUGUAAUUACAAGGUUAUUUUUUAUUUUCUUUCCUUUUUAUUUUUAUUUUAAUUUAUUUUCUUUAUAACUUUUUUCUAUUAUUUUAAUUUUUAAAAUUUUUGUGACGACC
rnacentral:lncRNA from 1 species